UGGGGAAUAUUGCACAAUGGGCGCAAGCCUGAUGCAGCCAUGCCGCGUGUGUGAAGAAGGCCUUCGGGUUGUAAAGCACUUUCAGCGAGGAGGAAGGUGGUGAGCUUAAUACGCUCAUCAAUUGACGUUACUCGCAGAAGAAGCACCGGCUAACUCCGUGCCAGCAGCCGCGGUAAUACGGAGGGUGCAAGCGUUAAUCGGAAUUACUGGGCGUAAAGCGCACGCAGGCGGUUUGUUAAGUCAGAUGUGAAAUCCCCGGGCUCAACCUGGGAACUGCAUUUGAAACUGGCAAGCUAGAGUCUCGUAGAGGGGGGUAGAAUUCCAGGUGUAGCGGUGAAAUGCGUAGAGAUCUGGAGGAAUACCGGUGGCGAAGGCGGCCCCCUGGACGAAGACUGACGCUCAGGUGCGAAAGCGUGCAGGAGCAAACAGGAUUAGAUACCCUGGUAGUCCACGCUGUAAACGAUGUCGAUUUGGAGGUUGUGCCCUUGAGGCGUGGCUUCCGGAGCUAACGCGUUAAAUCGACCG
rnacentral:rRNA from 1 species